rnacentral:rRNA from 1 species
UGGGGAAUAUUGGACAAUGGGCGCAAGCCUGAUCCAGCCAUGCCGCGUGAGUGAUGAAGGCCCUAGGGUUGUAAAGCUCUUUCACCGGUGAAGAUAAUGACGGUAACCGGAGAAGAAGCCCCGGCUAACUUCGUGCCAGCAGCCGCGGUAAUACGAAGGGGGCUAGCGUUGUUCGGAUUUACUGGGCGUAAAGCGCACGUAGGCGGACUAUUAAGUCAGGGGUGAAAUCCCGGGGCUCAACCCCGGAACUGCCUUUGAUACUGGUAGUCUUGAGUUCGAGAGAGGUGAGUGAAAUUCCGAGUGUAGAGGUGAAAUUCGUAGAUAUUCGGAGGAACACCAGUGGCGAAGGCGGCUCACUGGCUCGAUGCUGACGCUGAGGUGCGAAAGCGUGGGGAGCAAACAGG